rnacentral:rRNA from 1 species
GAAAAGCUCAAAUUUAAAAUCUGGUAGUCUUUGGCUGCCCGAGUUGUAGUCUGGAGAAGUGCUAUCCGCGCUGGACCGUGUACAAGUCUCUUGGAACAGAGCGUCGUAGAGGGUGAGAAUCCCGUCUUUGACACGGACUACCGGUGCUUUGUGAUGCGCUCUCAAAGAGUCGAGUUGUUUGGGAAUGCAGCUCAAAAUGGGUGGUAAAUUCCAUCUAAAGCUAAAUAUUGGCGAGAGACCGAUAGCGAACAAGUACCGUGAGGGAAAGAUGAAAAGCACUUUGGAAAGAGAGUUAAACAGUACGUGAAAUUGCUGAAAGGGAAACACUUGAAGUCAGUCGCGUUGGCCGGAACUCAGCCUUGCUUGCUUGGUGUAUUUUCUGGUUGACGGGCCAGCAUCAGUUUUGACCGUCGGAUAAAGAUCAAGGGAAUGUGGCAUCUUCGGAUGUGUUAUAGCCUUUGGUCACAUACGAUGGUUGGGACUGAGGAUCUCAGCACGCCUUUAUGGUCGGGGUUCGCCCACGCUUGGUGCUUAGGAUGCUGGCAUAAUGGCUUUAAAUGACCCGUCUUGAAACACGGACCAAGGAGUCUAACAUGCCUGCGAGUGUUUGGGUGGCAAACCCGAGCGCGCAAUGAAAGUGAAAGUUGAGACCUCUGUCGUGGAGGGCAUUGACGCCCGGACCAGACCUUCUGUGACGGCUCCGCGGUAGAGCAUGUAUGUUGGGACCCGAAAGAUGGUGAACUAUGCCUGAAUAGGGUGAAGCCAGAGGAAACUCUGGUGGAGGCUCGUAGCGAUUCUGACGUGCAAAUCGAUCGUCAAAUUUGGGUAUAGGGGCGAAAGACUAAUCGAACC